UUAAUACCAAAUACCACCCUACGGGGGAAAGAUUUAUCGCUAAAGGAUUGGUCUAUGUCCUAUCAGCUUGUUGGUGAGGUAAAGGCUCACCAAGGCAAUGACGGGUAUCCGGCCUGAGAGGGUGAACGGACACACUGGAACUGAGACACGGUCCAGACUCCUACGGGAGGCAGCAGUAGGGAAUAUUGCUCAAUGGGCGCAAGCCUGAGGCAGCAACGCCGCGUGGAGGAUGAAGGUUUUAGGAUUGUAAACUCCUUUUGUCAGAGAAGAUAAUGACGGUAUCUCACGAAUAAGCGC
rnacentral:rRNA from 1 species